rnacentral:rRNA from 1 species
GUGUCAGCAGCCGCGGUAAUACAGAGGGUGCAAGCGUUAAUCGGAUUUACUGGGCGUAAAGGGCGCGUAGGCGGUUGAGUGAGUGUGAUGUGAAAGCCCCGGGCUUAACCUGGGAAGUGCAUCGCAAACGACUUAACUGGAGUAGGUGAGAGGGUGGCGGAAUUUCCGGUGUAGCGGUGAAAUGCGUAGAGAUCGGAAGGAACGUCAAUGGCGAAGGCAGCCACCUGGCACCAUACUGACGCUGAGGCGCGAGAGCGUGGGGAGCGAACAGGAUUAGAUACCCUGGUAGUCCACGCUGUAAACGAUGAGAACUAAAUGUUGGAGGGGGAACCCUUCAGUAUUGAAGCUAACGCGAUAAGUUCUCCGCCUGGGAAGUACAGUCGCAAGACUGAA